rnacentral:rRNA from 1 species
AUUGAACGCUGGCGGCAGGCCUAACACAUGCAAGUCGAACGGUAACAGAAAGCAGCUUGCUGCUUUGCUGACGAGUGGCGGACGGGUGAGUAAUGUCUGGGAAACUGCCUGAUGGAGGGGGAUAACUACUGGAAACGGUAGCUAAUACCGCAUAACGUCGCAAGACCAAAGAGGGGGACCUUCGGGCCUCUUGCCAUCGGAUGUGCCCAGAUGGGAUUAGCUUGUUGGUGGGGUAACGGCUCACCAAGGCGACGAUCCCUAGCUGGUCUGAGAGGAUGACCAGCCACACUGGAACUGAGACACGGUCCAGACUCCUACGGGAGGCAGCAGUGGGGAAUAUUGCACAAUGGGCGCAAGCCUGAUGCAGCCAUGCCGCGUGUAUGAAGAAGGCCUUCGGGUUGUAAAGUACUUUCAGCGGGGAGGAAGGGAGUAAAGUUAAUACCUUUGCUCAUUGACGUUACCCGCAGAAGAAGCACCGGCUAUCUCCGUG